rnacentral:rRNA from 1 species
GACGAACGCUGGCGGCGUGCUUAACACAUGCAAGUCGAACGGAAAGGCCCCCACCUUGGUGGGGGUGCUCGAGUGGCGAACGGGUGAGUAACACGUGGGUGAUCUGCCCUGUACUUCGGGAUAAGCUUGGGAAACUGGGUCUAAUACCGGAUAGGACCAUGGUUUAGUGUCUCAUGGUGGAAAAAUUAUUGUUUUGGUGCAGGAUGAGCUCGCGGCCUAUCAGCUUGUUGGUGGGGUAAUGGCCUACCAAGGCGUCGACGGGUAGCCGGCCUGAGAGGGUGGACGGCCACAUUGGGACUGAGAUACGGCCCAGACUCCUACGGGAGGCAGCAGUGGGGAAUAUUGCACAAUGGGCGCAAGCCUGAUGCAGCGACGCCGCGUGGGGGGAUGACGGCCCUUCGGGUUGUAAAACUCCCUUU